ensembl:lncRNA
GAGAGAGAGAGAGGGUGAGAGCGAGAGACGGUAAGAGAGAAACUGGGAGGCAGCAUCUCCCACCCAGACGGGAAGGAGGGGAGGGCAGACAGCGUGCCCGCCCCUCGAACAGACAGAGGUGAACGGAAAGUGGACAUGAGGGAGAGCGAGAGAGACGUGAGGGGAGAAGAGGAGCACAAUGAAGGAGUGCCAUUGUCCAUCCUGCCAGCACUGCCAUUUCACCAUCUGCUGUGAGAGGGAGAGAGAACGAUAGGGAGGGAGGAGGCAAGUCAAGAGAAGAGGAGCUGCCGCCGGUGACUUUGUGAAUUAAUCGAGCGGAAGAGUGGAUCAGAGGAGGAGCACGUUUUUCUUUUUUUCAGGGAGUGGACGGACGGAGGGACAGACACACAGAGAGAGAGAGAGAGAGGGGGAAGAGGACGGCUGGCCGAGACUGUUUAAACAUUUAUGUGAUCUCAUGUGAAUAUGGAGCCCGGCUUUAGAGGAAUCUCCAUGGAUUAUCAACUGUAUGCUUUAUAAACCAAAACAGGGGCUAUUUAUGCUUUGCCAUUCAUAAAAAAAAAAAAUCAGUCUUGGGGAAUUUGAUUAGGCUGUCUUCAUACAGGACAAUUUCAAUAACUUUUUUUGUUAAUAUAGGUUCUGGUUGUGACUGUCUUUAUGUGCAUUCUCUGCAAGAUGUGCACAGAAUAUUCAGGUUUUUCUGCAAGUUUUCUAAGCAUCACUGUUGUCUAGAAGUAAAUUAGAUGUUGUAGCUGUUUACUGUUGUUAGAAAAGUGACUCUUGUCCUUUUUGAAGGAAUCUCAGACAUUCAGUUGGAGUCUGUGCGUCCCGCCGGCUCGGGAUUCAACAUUGACUGAAACCUAUCGACCUUUCUGCAAGCCUUUAGUUUUUCUUGCAGCUGUGUUGUUAAAAAAAAAAAAGAAAAAUCUUCAACACGGAGCCUUUGAUGCAGCAACUAAUUGCUGUCACGUGAUUUGACGAAGCAGUUAUCUCUUUGUCUGAAGAUUUCUGCAGUUGUCGGGACUUCUCAGCGUUCCUCCGCAGGCAUCUCUCUUAAUGGCUGUUGCCAUAGCAACGAGCAGCAGCUGCAGAUGGAACAAGAUGUCAAGUUCGUUUAUUUGUUUCUCUCUAAACAAACGGUGCUGUUCCAUUGUGUAACUGUUAACAAGAAGCCUUGUUAAGUCCACAAUUGCGUGCAGUUUUUGGACUUUAUACACGGCUGUUGUUUUUUCCUUUUCUUUACUAGACAGUCUUGUCUAUGCAGCAGACUCUGGGAAUCAAGGUUGUUUCAGGUCACCUAUCCCACCCCGCCCCCCCCCCCCCUCCCCACCCCUUAUUCUGUGUAGUCUUGUGCUAGUCGGCGCAGCCCUGUUUGUCCCAAUCUCUC